rnacentral:misc_RNA from 1 species
CUUGGUCAUUUAGAGGAAGUAAAAGUCGUAACAAGGUCUCCGUUGGUGAACCAGCGGAGGGAUCAUUACCGAGUUUACAACUCCCAAACCCCUAUGAACAUACCUUUAUGUUGCCUCGGCGGAUCAGCCCGCGCCCCGUAAAACGGGACGGCCCGCCGCAGGAACCACAAAACUCUGAUUUUAGUGUAACUUCUGAGUCUAAAAAACAAAUAAACCAAAACUUUCAACAACGGAUCUCUUGGUUCUGGCAUCGAUGAAGAACGCAGCAAAAUGCGAUAAGUAAUGUGAAUUGCAGAAUUCAGUGAAUCAUCGAAUCUUUGAACGCACAUUGCGCCCGCCAGUAUUCUGGCGGGCAUGCCUGUUCGAGCGUCAUUUCAACCCUCAAGCCCCCGGGUUUGGUGUUGGGGAUCGGGCUGUACUCCAGCCCGGCCCCGAAAUCUAGUGGCGGUCUCGCUGCAGCCUCCAUUGCGUAGUAGCUAACACCUCGCAACUGGAACGCGGCGCGGCCAAGCCGUUAAACCCCCAACUUCUGAAUGUUGACCUCGGAUCAGGUAGGAAUACCCGCUGAACUUAAGCAUAUCAAUAAGCGGAGGA